AAAAGGGGAAAAGAAGAGCAUUGCUGAUUCCUCCUUCCCAUCUUAGAAAAACCAAACCCUUCCUUUCCCUCUUCGAUAUUUUGUGAGUAUUUAAUUUUGCUUCUUCACAUUCCACUAAACCGCCGCUUUUUAGAUCUUUCGCUUACGAACCAAACAAGGUGAUCGAAGAAUGGAGAACUUUAUAUAAAUAUUUAUGUAGGUAUUUUGUUAAUAGCUAAAAACUCUGAGCAGGAUUGCAUUUGUUGGCCUUUUGUUCUGUAAUUUUCUCAUGUCCAUUAAAAUGAAGUUGUAAUGAGUGAAUUACUCUUCCGAAGAUAUUUUCUUGGCCCAUUCUGAGUUUGCAUCUGAAGUUUAGGGACAGUUAUGAAGCAUCCAUAUGCGGCUGAAAGCAGUUAUAUUUGGCUGGUCUUGAUAUGUUUCCAAGAAUCUGGUGCUAUCUUUUUAUUGGGUACUAAGGAAGGUCGUUGAUCUGCACUUUAUAGUAUUCUGCAGUUCAUAUUACAAUGGUGCAAUUUGCAGUUUAUGUUACGCGUGGACAUGCAUACCAUUAACGGGAAUAUAGCAUUAGAAGAAACGUUAACAUAGGCUUAAUAUCCAGGAUUCUGCUUACCCUCUACAACCACCCCCCCUAAAAUUAUAAUUAUAAAUGCUGUUACUUUUGUUGGAAGACACUAGAUCCUAAUUAGUGAUCCCUAGGUUGUUUAACUUCACCAUUGAUCCUGAACUGGGUACUGUUUAAUACUCUAAUUUUCCUUCUCUUUUUCUUUUCAAUUACGAUUACUUUUCAUUUACUUGCAAUGGAAUUUUUCAUGUGCUUGUGUAUUUCUUGACGCCUUAAUUUUCAGCCUAAUCCUGGGUUGCCAUCAACACAUCAUCGAAGGGUAGCUUGUUCCUUCAGGGAUCAGUCACUUUUUCAAAUAUUCCAAAUAUCUUUAACAUCGCUGCGUCAUCUGAAAAAUGAUGUUGCAAGUCGAUUGCAAGAGCUGGCACUCUCUCUUGCACUGAAAUGUUUAUCCUUUGAUUUUGUUGGGACAUCAAUUGAUGAAAGUUUAGAAGAGUUUGGUACCGUUCAGAUUCCAUCAUCUUGGAGACCAGUAUUGGAGGAUUCUUCAACACUUCAGAUAUUUUUUGAUUAUUAUUCCAUUUCUAAAGCUCCUCUUUCAAAGGAGUGCCAAAGGAAUAGCACACUUACAUUGGUGGACAUGAAAAGUCAACUGGUGAGGGAUGAAUUAUGGGG